rnacentral:rRNA from 1 species
AUAUAGGUCAAGCUACAAAGGGCGCAUGGUGAAUGCCUUGGCAUCAGGAGCCGAUGAAGGACGUGAUAAGCUGCGAUAAGCUUCGGGUAGGCGCACAUAGCCUGAGAUCCGAAGAUCUCCGAAUGAGGAAACUCACAUGGGAAACCCCAUGUAUCAUUAAGUGAAUACAUAGCUUAAUGAAGGUAACCCAGGGAACUGAAACAUCUAAGUACCUGGAGGAAGAGAAAGAAAAAUCGAUUUUCUUAGUAGCGGCGAGCGAAAGGGAAAGAGCCCAAACCGGAAACUUGUUUCCGGGGUUGUGGACAUAACAUAAAAGUGGAGGCUAUUGUAACUGAAGAGAACUGGAAAGUUCCACCGUAGAAGGUAAUAGUCCUGUAAGUGAAACGAGAAGACCACGAGUUAUGAUCCAGAGUACCACGAGACACGUGAAACCUUGUGGGAAGCAGGGAGGACCACCUCCCAAGGCUAAAUACUACCUGAUGACCGAUAGUGAAGCAGUACCGUGAGGGAAAGGUGAAAAGAACCCCGGGAGGGGAGUGAAAUAGAACCUGAAACCGUGUGUCUACAACCGCUCAGAGCCCCUUAUGAGGGUGAUGAGGUGCUUUUUGUAGAACGAGCCAACGAGUUACGGUAUGUAGCAAGGUUAAGUACUUAAGGUACGGAGCCGAAGGGAAACCGAGUCUGAAUAGGGCGACUAGUUGCAUGCCGUAGACCCGAAACCGGGUGACCUAUCCAUGGCCAGGUUGAAGCGAGGGUAAAACCUCGUGGAGGACCGAACCACGUUGCUGUUGAAAAAGCAUGGGAUGAGCUGUGGAUAGCGGAGAAAUUCCAAUCGAACCCGGAGAUAGCUGGUUCUCUCCGAAAUAGCUUUAGGGCUAGCGUCGAGUAUGAGUAGUGGAGGUAGAGCACUGAAUGGGCUAGGGGGCAUAGCGCUUACCGAACCUUAUCAAACUCCGAAUGCCACAUACUUUGAGCUCGGCAGUUAGACUACGAAUGAUAAGAUCCGUGGUCAAAAGGGAAACAGCCCAGAUCGUCAGCUAAGGUCCCAAAGUGUAAGUUAAGUGGGAAAGGAUGUGAGAUUUCUAAGACAACUAGGAUGUUGGCUUAGAAGCAGCCAUUCAUUAAAAGAGUGCGUAAUAGCUCACUAGUCGAGAGAUCUUGCGCCGAAAAUGUAACGGGGCUAAACUUACCACCGAAGCUACGGGCUUGAACUUAGUUCAAGCGGUAGGAGAGCGUCGUAACCGGGCUGAAGUCGUACCGUAAGGAGCGGUGGACUGGUUACGAGUGAGAAUGUUGGCAUCAGUAGCGAGAUGUGGGUGAGAAUCCCACAGGCCGAAAACCUAAGGUUUCCUCAGGAAGGUUCGUCCGCUGAGGGUUAGUCGGGACCUAAGCCGAGGCUGAAAGGCGUAGGUGAUGGACAACUGGUUGAUAUUCCAGUACCACUACCAUCGUUAUUAUCGAUGGCGUGACGCAGGAGGAUAGUGUGUGCUAGCUAUUGGAUGCUAGUCCAAGCGUUUAGGCAGUGAGAGUAGGCAAAUCCGCUCUCAUAAUGCUGAGGCGUGAUGGGGAAGGUUCUACGGAACCGAAGUACAUGAUUCCACGCUGCCAAGAAAAGCGUCUAGAGAGAGAAGUAGUGCCCGUACCGCAAACCGACACAGGUAGGUGAGGAGAGAAUCCUAAGGCCGGCGGAAGAAUUACAGUUAAGGAACUCGGCAAAUUGACCCCGUAAGUUCGCGAGAAGGGGUGCCUACGAGAGUAGGCCGCAGAGAAUAGGCCCAAGCAACUGUUUAGCAAAAACACAGGUCUCUGCUAAAGCGUAAGCUGAUGUAUAGGGGCUGACGCCUGCCCGGUGCUGGAAGGUUAAGGGGAACACUUAGCGCAAGCGAAGGUGUGAACUUAAGCCCCAGUAAACGGCGGCCGUAACUAUAACGGUCCUAAGGUAGCGAAAUUCCUUGUCAGGUAAGUUCUGACCCGCACGAAUGGCGUAAUGACUUGGGCACUGUCUCAACUGUAAAUCCGGCGAAGUUGUAGUGCGAGUGAAGAUGCUCGCUACCCGCGAUUGGACGGAAAGACCCCGUAGAGCUUUACUGUAGCUUAGCAUUGAGUUUUGGUAUUGUCUGUACAGGAUAGGUGGGAGACUAGGAAACCAGGGCGUCAGCCUUGGUGGAGUCAACCUUGGGAUACCACCCUGACAGUACUGAAAUUCUAACUGGCGGCCAUGAAUCUGGUCACAGGACAUUGUUAGGUGGGCAGUUUGACUGGGGCGGUCGCCUCCUAAAAAGUAACGGAGGCGCCCAAAGGUUCCCUCAGAACGGUCGGAAAUCGUUCGAAGAGUGCAAAGGCAGAAGGGAGCCUGACUGCGACACCCACAAGUGGAGCAGGGACGAAAGUCGGGCUUAGUGAUCCGGUGGUACCUCGUGGGAGGGCCAUCGCUCAACGGAUAAAAGCUACCUCGGGGAUAACAGGCUGAUCUCCCCCAAGAGUCCACAUCGACGGGGAGGUUUGGCACCUCGAUGUCGGCUCGUCGCAUCCUGGGGCUGAAGUAGGUCCCAAGGGUUGGGCUGUUCGCCCAUUAAAGCGGCACGCGAGCUGGGUUCAGAACGUCGUGAGACAGUUCGGUCCCUAUCCGUCGCGGGCGUAGGAAAUUUGAGAGGAGCUGUCCUUAGUACGAGAGGACCGGGAUGGACUGACCUCUGGUGUACCAGUUGUUCCGCCAGGAGCACAGCUGGGUAGCUAAGUCGGGAAUGGAUAAACGCUGAAAGCAUCUAAGCGUGAAGCCAACCUCAAGAUGAGAUUUCCCAUAGCGUAAGCUAGUAAGAUCCCUUGAAGAACACAAGGUUGAUAGGUCGGGGGUGUAAGCAUGGUAACAUGUUCAGCUGACCGAUACUAAUAGAUCGAGGGCUUGACCAAAU